CAAAAUAGGGCAAGUAACAUGAUUGGAAAGCUUCAACAGGUUUGUAAGAAGGUCAGCCAGCCACAAAUGUAAAAGAUGUACAGAACAGCUCAAUAACAGCAAUAAAAAAACUCAUAUAAUAACAUUUAAAUUGAUGAUGAGAGGACAGAUUAGAAGAUAAAAAUAAUCCAAUCUAUCAUUGCAUGGACUAGUUAUCAAUCUUAAAAAGCUAGAAAGGCAUGCAUUGAAAUAGUGCUCGCGAGUCAAAUCCCUGGGUGGACAGAUAAAGAAAGCAAUCCAUCAAAUAAAAUUACCAAUCAAGAAAUCAAACUGAUCCAGAGUUUAAUUGCCAAUUAAGAUGUAUUGACAGGCGGUUCCCUUCAGAUAGUAAAUAUCUCCACCGAAAAAAUUUUGUAAACCCUACGAAUAUAAAGACAUAUUGGAAUAUAAAGGUAAAAAUCACUGAAAAUGGCGGUGAACACAAGAUAGCAAUCCCAGAAGAGAUCGCAGAGAUCAGAAAGCCAGCCAUGUACUGAAAAAUGUUGUAAGCCAAAUUAAGAGCUCAAUUCAUAGUUUUCUUUCCCUUUACUUUUGGCUUGGUUAAUUAAUUUAAACACUUUCACCUUUCUCUUCAUUUCAAUUUCCCCAAUCUGACACUCGAAAUCCAUGCCAUGGACUUAAUCCCCGAAAAAUCAAUCACUUCUCUCCUCAGAAUUCAUGUUGCAAUUGCACACAUUCUCUGCUAGGAUCCCAAAACACCAUUUCCAACAGAUCAAACAAUAAUUGAAUUACUUAAUAAACAAAAACGUAGUCGUGAUAAUUCAAUCCAGCCUUGAUCAAGGGGCAACAACCCCAAAGCAUUUCUCACAGUGAAAAACAUCAGAAAGAUCCAGAAAAGGCAAAACAAUUUCAAGAAAAGGCAGGCAAACAAACCCUAACACUAAAUUUUACUGUUAAGAUAAAAAAAAAAAAAAGACUCCUCUUUUAUAAGACAGAGAAGAAAUAAAAUCUUUAAUCUUCAUAGCUUCAUACAUAUCAGAUUCUCAUAAACCACAAAAUCUCACUUCAAGAAACCCCAUAAUUGCUUCCCUUCACUACAGUUAUAAUCCCUUUGUCGAAAUCCCAUUUCCAUUCACUCGUCAAGAUUCAAAAUUCCCUUUUUUCGCUUCAUUUCUCACCAUUUUGUCCGGCAACCAAACAACCACAAAAUCAUUUUUUUUUCAAAAAAGAAAAGGAAAAAGAACAGACACAUUACCCGAAGAAGAAUUAUACUUGUUCUUGUUAUAAUCACCGCAACUUCUCUUUCUCUUCCCCAUAACAAAAACAAAA